UAUGGAGGAGGCAAGCGUUAUCCGGAAUUAUUGGGCGUAAAGCGUCCGUAGGUGGCUCUUCAAGUCUGCUGUCAAAGAGUGGGGCUUAACCCUGCAAAGGCAGUGGAAACUGAAAGGCUAGAGAGCCGUAGGGGUAGAGGGAAUUCCCGGUGUAGCGGUGAAAUGCGUAGAGAUCGGCAGGAAGACCAAGGGGGAAGCCGGUCACCUGGGCCCGCGCUGACACUCAUGGACGACCGCGUGGGGAGCGAGCCGG
rnacentral:rRNA from 1 species